AGGGAAUCUUCCGCAAUGGACGAAAGUCUGACGGAGCAACGCCGCGUGAACGAAGAAGGCCUUCGGGUCGUAAAGUUCUGUUGUUAGGGAAGAACAAGUACCAGAGUAACUGCUGGUACCUUGACGGUACCUAACCAGAAAGCCACGGCUAACUACGUGCCAGCAGCCGCGGUAAUACGUAGGUGGCAAGCGUUGUCCGGAAUUAUUGGGCGUAAAGCGCGCGCAGGUGGUUCCUUAAGUCUGAUGUGAAAGCCCACGGCUCAACCGUGGAGGGUCAGUGGAAACUGGGGAACUUGAGUGCAGAAGAGGAAAGUGGAAUUCCAAGUGUAGCGGUGAAAUGCGUAGAGAUUUGGAGGAACACCAGUGGCGAAGGCGACUUUCUGGUCUGUAACUGACACUGAGGCGCGAAAGCGUGGGGAGCAAAC
rnacentral:rRNA from 1 species